UACGUAGGGUGCAAGCGUUGUCCGGAAUUAUUGGGCGUAAAGAGCUCGUAGGCGGUCUGUCGCGUCGGCUGUGAAAACCCGGGGCUCAACCCCGGGCCUGCAGUCGAUACGGGCAGACUAGAGUGCGGUAGGGGAGACUGGAAUUCCUGGUGUAGCGGUGAAAUGCGCAGAUAUCAGGAGGGACACCGGUGGCGAAGGCAGGUCUCUGGGCCACUACUGACGCUGAGAAGCGAAAGCAUGGGGAGCGAACAGG
rnacentral:rRNA from 1 species